rnacentral:rRNA from 1 species
AGUGAACGCUGGCGGUAGGCCUAACACAUGCAAGUCGAACGGCAGCACAGGAGAGCUUGCUCUCUGGGUGGCGAGUGGCGGACGGGUGAGGAAUACGUCGGAAUCUACUCUGUCGUGGGGGAUAACGUAGGGAAACUUACGCUAAUACCGCAUACGACCUACGGGUGAAAGCAGGGGAUCUUCGGACCUUGCGCGAUUGAAUGAGCCGAUGUCGGAUUAGCUAGUUGGCGGGGUAAAGGCCCACCAAGGCGACGAUCCGUAGCUGGUCUGAGAGGAUGAUCAGCCACACUGGAACUGAGACACGGUCCAGACUCCUACGGGAGGCAGCAGUGGGGAAUAUUGGACAAUGGGCGCAAGCCUGAUCCAGCCGUACCGCGUGGGUGAAGAAGGCCUUCGGGUUGUAAAGCCCUUUUGUUGGGAAAGAAAUCCAGCUGGCUAAUACCCGGUUGGGAUGACGGUACCCAAAGAAUAAGCACCGGCUAACUUCGUGCCAGCAGCCGCAGUAA